CGGGCUUAGCGGGCGGCCGCGGCCAGGGCUGAGGCCGCGAAGCUCUGCGGGGCCCGGCGCUCGCUGCGGUUGGUUCUUUGCCUCUUGGGUCGGGCAGCCCAAUGGCAGGUGAGGCGGAGGAUGCUGCGGAAGAGGCUCGCAAAAAGAUAUUGGUCAUCUUUCAAGGUCAGUCCACUACCCAAGCUCUACCCUCUUCGAUGCCAAAAGGAGACACCAUUCAUGGCAGAUAGUGCAGAUCUUCAUGAUAUGAUCCACCCUCUUCUGUGGUGAGGAAACUGAGGCACAGAGAGAUGAUGUGAUUUGCCCAAGGGUGCACAGUCAGACAGUGACAGAACCGGCCUCAGAACCCACAAGUUCCUGGCAUCCUGUCUGAUGUUUCAUGCACUACUCAAUACUGUCACUCAAUAAAAUGUCCUUUCCAUGAGCAAUAGAUACCUAUGCACACACCAUGAAUGUAUCUCCAGGGACAUAG